UACGUAGGGUGCGAGCGUUGUCCGGAAUUAUUGGGCGUAAAGAGCUUGUAGGCGGUUUGUCGCGUCUGCCGUGAAAGCCCAGGGCUUAACCCUGGGUCUGCGGUGGGUACGGGCAGACUAGAGUGUGGUAGGGGAGACUGGAAUUCCUGGUGUAGCGGUGAAAUGCGCAGAUAUCAGGAGGAACACCGAUGGCGAAGGCAGGUCUCUGGGCCACUACUGACGCUGAGAAGCGAAAGCAUGGGGGAGCGAACAGG
rnacentral:rRNA from 1 species